AGAGUUUGAUCCUGGCUCAGGACGAACGCUGGCGGCGUGCCUAAUACAUGCAAGUCGAGCGAACGGACGAGGUGCUUGCACCUCAACUGUUAGCGGCGAACGGGUGAGUAACACGUGAGGAAUCUACCCAUAAGCGGGGGAUAACAUUCGGAAACGGAUGCUAAUACCGCAUAGUAAUCUGGAUCACAUGAUCCAGUUUGGAAAGGCGGCUUCGGCUGUCACUUAUGGAUGACCUUGCGGUGUAUUAGCUAGUUGGUGGGGUAAUGGCCUACCAAGGCGAUGAUACAUAGCCGACCUGAGAGGGUGAUCGGCCACAUUGGGACUGAGACACGGCCCAAACUCCUACGGGAGGCAGCAGUAGGGAAUCUUCCGCAAUGGACGAAAGUCUGACGGAGCAACGCCGCGUGAGUGAAGAAGGUUUUCGGAUCGUAAAACUCUGUUGUAAGAGAAGAACAAAUUGUAGAGUAACUGCUACAGUCUUGACGGUAUCUUACCAGAAAGCCACGGCUAACUACGUGCCAGCAGCCGCGGUAAUACGUAGGUGGCAAGCGUUGUCCGGAUUUAUUGGGCGUAAAGGGAGCGCAGGUGGUUUCUUAAGUCUGAUGUGAAAGCCCACGGCUCAACCGUGGAGGGUCAUUGGAAACUGGGGAACUUGAGUGCAGAAGAGGAAAGUGGAAUUCCAAGUGUAGCGGUGGAAUGCGUAGAUAUUUGGAGGAACACCAGUGGCGAAGGCGACUUUCUGGUCUGUAACUGACACUGAGGCUCGAAAGCGUGGGGAGCAAACAGGAUU
rnacentral:rRNA from 1 species